rnacentral:lncRNA from 10 species
UUUCAGUUUACAUUGGAGUGUUUAGUAUCAUAUAAAUCUAGGAUGAUUCUAUAAUACAAAAAUUCUAUUGCAGAUGUUUGUUUAAAUAAUAAGUACUAAGAUUUGAAAAACAUAUUAAUAGAAUCUUAAAAUAUCACUGCACCAAUUUACUUCUACAUAAGCCAUCAAAUCUUAUGACUACAAACUAUCUGACACCUGUGUUUCUGUUUCUCAGCAGUCUUGCAGAGGAUCCUGAAUAAUCCACCUUACAUUUAUCACAUGAGAAGGCUAAGGCCCAAAGAGAUACAACUGCUGGAUUUACUGGGCAUUCAAAUGACUGUACAAUAGUAAACAACAGCAAUACAACCAUGACUCUUCCAUUCACUCAACAAUCAUCAGUUGGCUUGCUUACUGUCUGUUAUGAAGCUGCAUCUCAAGAAAUCUUAACUGGGAAACCUUUCCAUCUCCUCCAUAUAAUGAAGGUAUUCAAGAUUUCCAAAGAUGUGUGAAUGCAUAAAUAAUGGAAGAAAAGACUAAGACAGGAAAUUACCACACAGAACAAUUUGAAGAAAGCAUCAAUUAUGGUUCUAUUAUGGGUUGAAUUGUGUCCCACAAAAAGGUAUGUUGAACUCCUAAUCCCCCAUACCUCAGAUUGUGACCUUAUUUGAAAAUAGGUUUGUUGCAGAUGUAACUAGUUAAGAUGAGGUCAUGCUGGAAUAGGUGGCCCUUAAAAGAAGUAUGACUGGUGUACUUAUGAGAAAAGGAGAGGAGACACAGAUGCAUAAGAAAAAUGCUAUGUAACAACAGAGGUGGAAAUUUGAGUGGUGCACCUACAAGCCAAAGAAUGCCGAGGAUUGCCAGACAUCUCCAGAAGCUAGGAAAGAGGCAUGGAACAGAUCUUCCCUCAGAGGAAACCAUUCCUGCUGACACCAUUUCAGACUUCUAGCCUCCAGAACUGUGAAAGAAUAUGUUUUUGUUGUGUUAAGCCACCCAGUUUGUGGUGCUGUGUUAUAGCAGCCCUAGGAAACUGAUGUAGUUUCUUUCUCAAAACUUCAUAUGUUUCAAGAUUUAUUCACAUAAAGGGCUAAACUUUCCUUCUACGUUAACUCAUAUUUCAAAACUCAAGUCAGUGAAAACCUUUAAUGAAACUAAAAAUCAUGAAUAAAUGAGAUGAGUUUUUAUUAGGAUGAUUCUCAGGAAAGUACAUGUAAUAACAGUCAACACACAUCCUAGGGCACACUAUCCAAAUAGAAAUGAAAAAAGAGAUAAAGUGGGAAUAAAAAUGCCUGAAAAUAUUCUAUAUUUUAUUUUUAAUAGUA